rnacentral:rRNA from 1 species
UACGGAGGAUGCAAGCGUUAUCCGGAAUGAUUGGGCGUAAAGAGUCCGUAGGUGGUUAUUCAAGUCGAUUGUUAAAGAGCGAGGCUUAACCUUGUAAAAGCAGUGGAAACUGAAUAGCUAGAGAGAGGUAGGGGUAGAGGGAAUUCCCGGUGUAGCGGUGAAAUGCGUAGAGAUCGGGAAGAACACCAGUGGCGAAAGCGCUCUACUGGACCUCAUCUGACACUGAGGGACGAAAGCUAGGGGAGCGAAAGGG